GAUGAACGCUGACAGAAUGCUUAACACAUGCAAGUCUACUUGAACUUCGGUUUGGGUGGCGGACGGGUGAGUAACGCGUAAAGAACUUGCCUCACAGAUAGGGACAACAUUUGGAAACGAAUGCUAAUACCUGAUAUUAUGAUUUUAGGGCAUCCUAGAAUUAUGAAAGCUAUAUGCACUGUGAGAGAGCUUUGCGUCCCAUUAGCCAGUUGGAGAGGUAACGGCUCACCAAGGCGAUGAUGGGUAGCCGGCCUGAGAGGGUGAUCGGCCACAAGGGGACUGAGACACGGCCCUUACUCCUACGGGAGGCAGCAGGGGGGAAUAUUGGACAAUGGACCAAGAGUCUGAUCCAGCAAUUCUGUGUGCACGAUGAAGUUUUUCGGAAUGUAAAGUGCUUUCAGUUGGGAAGAAAAAAAUGACGGUACCAACAGAAGAAGUGACGGCUAAAUACGUG
rnacentral:rRNA from 1 species